CUAGAAUGAAGUUGGCUGGACAUAAAGUUUACUGGACCUCAAGUAGUCUGUGUCACCCGACGGGAGUCAGAAACGUCAUUUUUGUGCGGACCGGCGACUCGACGGACCCCGGCCGAGGACGCCGCUCGAACCGCGGUUGCGGAGGAGCGCGCCGAUACGAGUCGGAGACGGCUCGUACAGUCGGCGCACGAGAGCGGUCCGGACGAAGACAUUCGGGAACCGAGGACGAAGGCGCUCGUCGACUGCGGACGAAGACACCGGUCGACGCGCGAGGAAGAUGCUCCGGAACACGGGAAGAACGCCACACUCCCGAGUGCGGGAAGACACUCGUCAACGCAGAAGGAGACACGCAUCAAUGUCGGGCCGGCGUGAUUGUUUUAAAGACGAUUUAACGUGUAAAAUGAAUGUACGUGUUGUUUGUAACGAUUGUUAUAAUGUUUGUAGUAUUGUUUUUAGAGACCGACUCUGCGAAGGCGGAGGAAGUCGAUACAUGUCGAGAAUGAAUUUAUUGAAGAUGUUGCCUGUGAUCACUAGGUGUUUGCACUAAUUUGGGGAGAUGAUUACGAUCGUAGAACGUCACGGAAUGCGGCGCGCAUCCGUAAAUAACGGCAGCAUAAAUACGAGAGAACGCGGUGGCGGUGGCGGCGGGGAAGUGCGCCUUUUGAAAGUAAAAGAACGGGGGAGAUCGGACCGACAUAGAUGGUGUUGUUGUGGUAACCGAUAAGAAUGGAGAAAUGAUGACUAUUUGGUGGGUUUUUUAGGACAGAGAGAGUAGUUAUAUAUUAGUGAAGAUAUAAAGUAAAAGGUGAUAAGGAUGGUGGUGGGGGGGGGACAACGAAUGAUAUAUUUUGUAGGGUAUUAAAGGAAUUGACUCGUCAGUGCCGAGUCGGCGUAAUUGUGAGAAACGGAUGCGACGGGGAUUGUAAAGAAGUCGCGCGGUAGAGGAAUUGGCGGAAGCGACGAUCGCAAUAACCUUUCGACGUGGGACGGACGACGACGAAUUUAGUAAAUGGCGGUUUAGGAAAGGGUCGUACGUAAAGCGGCGGGUGCGGGCGCGUGCGGAUACGGACGACGGUCGAUCGGGGUCCGUUUACGGGACGGGAAAGAGGACCGACGGAGAACGGACGGGAAUUCGGACGGAGACGAGGCGGCGCACAAACGAAAGUAUACCCGCGAGAUGCGUAAAGAAUGAUUUGGAA